UACCUGUUGACCGAGCGAGGAGUCCUCUGUUUUCCUCCAGCACGUGAACAAGGAUGAGGAAAGCGUGAGCGUCUCCUUCCCUUUCCUUUUCCCUUUCUCCUCAAUUGAACCAGAGCAAAACCCUAGGCUCCCUCUUCCCCUUGUGCCGCCGCUGCCUCCUCUGCUCCUCCAAGCGCCCAGCCAGAACCACAUCCGAGAGCCACCAAAAGUUUCGCCGGAGAAGACCAAGACCGCGCCGUCGAACCAAACCGCUGCGUCGCCGUCCGAGCACGGGGAUGGAGCCGCCGUGGCGCCCUCUCCCUCCUCGCUGAACCGGAGUUGGAGCUGCUCGAGAACGUCGCCGCCGCCAAGACGUACCUGGAGCGCCGCCGUGCACGCCGACGACCUCCGCUUCGCCCCGCCGUCGUCUCCAUCCUCCCCAACCUUCUCCCUUGACGUGCUCGCCGUGUGUGCUGCCAGAGCCUCAACAGCGUCAUCUUGGUCGGGCUUCGUCUGGUUUCUUUCAAAGGGCUGAGCCCCUCUUCAGUCAUCAGUUAAUCUAGCAGUUCGCCUGUUCCAUCUGCACCUAAGACGCCGGUACCGAGGAGUACGGUGAGGAGUACGACUACUACCCCGAGGAGGAUCGUGCCGGUUUCUCUUCUUCUGACUUGACAUGCGAGCAUUUUUUCCCUGCUACCUAUUUCUGCUUUUGCCUCUUUACCUUACUGCUAUUCUGGUGUGCCGUUCUUGUCACGUAUCCUAUCGCAUGUCACCUACUGCAAGCCUUAGACCCAUACAUAUAUCCUACAGCUGUUGUUUGGUUACAGGGUCAGCCAUGCGAGUCGUAGGCUUGCUUAGUACCGUUAUUACAUUGCUACUAUUAUUGUUGUCGUCAUCGUUAUCUAGUUGGGUUAUAUUUGUUGGGGGGUUCCGAGAUACAUGCUUAUGGUUAUAUCUGUUCGAUAAGUUCACACCUUACUCAUUGAUGCUAAUAAUAAAAUUGCUAAGUAGAGGCAUCGGUGGGUCAGCUGAUUUUUCGCUUUGAACACGGCUCACUUGUGUCCACUGAUAUCUUAGGAUCCCGAGUUCUUGUCAUCUGAUCCAAGACUGAGUGCACUAACCAUACGUGGGGUUCAGUGGGGCCCCCUCGACUAAUUUCUGAACUACUUCCAUUGUCCAAGUGCCACAACUAGUAUUUGGUGUGUUUACUCUUUUAUCGCGUGCAUGCCAGCAUGUUACUUAUUUAUGUUGGGAAGCCCCUGGGUGCCUUGUAUCCCUUGUUUCUGGUAUGCACGUAUAGGUCGCGGAGCCUCUGCGAAGUGGUUUAUCGCCCCAGUGUGUGCUAAACCCCCUAGCACGUUGACGCAUAUAGCUAGGUCCGCCUCGGAGACUCGGCCGAACUCCGUAACGGGUUUAACUUAGUUAGGUGGCUCUUGGACUUGGUCUGUGGUGAAGGGAGAGGUAGUGUCGUGAUACUCUGCUUUGAUCCAGUCGGGUUGACCGAGCGUAUGAGACCAGUAGUGCAUCCCUGCAGGGUUACAAUCUUUUCGAAAAGCCGUGUCCGCGGUUAUGGACGACUUGGAGAAGUGUUACUUGAUCAUAGACAAUUUUCACCCUUUAUCUGCUAAUUAACUUGCGUAGUAAUUAGCAGAAUUGUAAUAAAAACUGGUUAAAACUGUAAACCGUGUGAGUGCCUUUGCAUCUUCUUCCUGUAGCAUGUAGAAGGGGGAAUGUAUCGGCUGCGUUAUGUUUGCAGAGUUUUAGAACUGUUAGAUGCACGCUCUCUUAUCUAUAUCUUGCAGACGGAAAGUUGAGAGUGUAUCUAUAGGUUGUAGUGCAAGCUUUGCUGCCGCUAAACCCACCAUAUAGCCGGCGAGCGCAGCCAAUAUUCUAAGUCUCGCUGGGUACGCGCCUUGGUACUCACCCUCGCUUUUCCUCUCU